CAGUCGCCGCGGUAAUACGGAGGGGGCUAGCGUUGUUCGGAAUUACUGGGCGUAAAGCGCACGUAGGCGGACUGGAAAGUCAGAGGUGAAAUCCCAGGGCUCAACCUUGGAACUGCCUUUGAAACUAUCAGUCUGGAGUUCGAGAGAGGUGAGUGGAAUUCCGAGUGUAGAGGUGAAAUUCGUAGAUAUUCGGAGGAACACCAGUGGCGAAGGCGGCUCACUGGCUCGAUACUGACGCUGAGGUGCGAAAGCGUGGGGAGCAAACAGGAUUAGAUACCCCAGUAGUCCCUGUCUCUUAUAC
rnacentral:rRNA from 1 species